AGCUAACGCAUGUAGUUUUAGUUGCUCCUAAUUUGACCAAACUGUAAUGGCUUGGACUGGACUGAAAUUCAUAAUUUUUGUGUGAAAAGUUAAGCAGAAGAUACUCAGCUCUGAAAAUAAGGGCUCUGUUUCAUUAUUGUUGCCUCUCAAGUCCUAUCAUAACCUGAAAGUCUGUGAUUGCAUUCCUUUGUACAGAACUUGCUUACUCCGUGCUAGCUGUGGAAAAGUUUUGGAAAAUAAAGACAUUCAAAGCUGAAGAACUGACUUUAAAAUGGAAAACAUCCAUCUUCCCUGGUCUAGUUGGAAAUGUAAGAGACUACUUGUGCUUUAAACAUGAAUUUAAACCACAGAUUCAAGAUAGAAUUUGUCCUACAGUAUGCUCUUACACACAUGCUAGCAUAUUUAGGACCUUAUGUUCACUACAGCUGGUACAUGUGUUGAUGUUGUCCUAAUAUUGGUAAUACAAUCAUCUGCCACAGGCAAGUCAUUUAAACUCUUCUCUUUACCUUCCAUAUGGAAAAUUUAAGGUUAUGGCAUUCAUGUGACAACAACAAUUAAAAUGCAAGGUUUGAUCUACUGAGUCAGUGAAAGAAUGAAUUGUGAUUAAGCCUGAAGUGUAUGAUAGGAUCUAAAAUGUAUAGAAUUGAUGUACUGAUCUUAAUUACUUUUACAUCACAAUUUUCUGUUACCAACAGAAAUUUGAGAAGUAUUUUUUAAAUACAAUACCUAGUAUUGAUUUGAAGUCAGUUUGUUGACGUUUUACAAAAUCCAGCCACUUUGGCUUUGUGGUAUCUUGGUGUUCUGUUUUUUUUUUUUGGGAGGGAGGAGUGAUGUUGUUGUUUUAUUUGUUUAUUAUUGAAGACUUCUAUUAAGAAAAAGUACCUCACACUGACUUUAUUGUAAAAUAUUGAUAGCUUGUAAGUCCUUUAAUCUAGAAGGAGUCAGAACAGUUUAUAGAUUAAAUAUCUGCAGGACACAGCAGAUGAAAGCAAAAUGCUGCUCCACCAGCCUGUGUUCAGAAUACACAUUAUUUUUAGUAAUGAUGUAGGAGAGAAACAGAGAAUCUAAUCUAACAAAUAUUCUACAUUGAAGCUAUGGUAGUCUCUCUUGGAAAUAUAUAUAUAUAAUAGGUAGGAAAGCAAAAGACUCCAGCAGUCAUUUUGAUUGAUCUUCGUGUUGCCCUGUAAGAAUCUCCAAACCCACUCUGAGAAACUUGAUACUGAACAUGGGACUUCUUUUUUUUUCAGUAGACAAUUUAUCUGAGAAUACAGUGAAAUUGGAUUGCAUUCAUCAAUGUAUUUACCCAAAAUAAAAUUAACAAAGUACGCAAAAAUGUUAAAGAAUUCAUUUGAAUGUGCUAAAUGAUUGUGUUGGUAGUCUACAUACCAUUACGCUGCUUCAGCACGGCAAAUGAAGAACAGUCCAUCACAGAACAGCCCUCAGCUUCACACUGUGCUAGGAAGUGUUGUAUCAAAGGGCUGAUGUGUUCUACCAGAAGAUGUAGUUAAAAUUUGGUUGCAGUAUCUGAGAAUUAUUGCCUGUAAAUAAUGUUGGAUACAUCCAGAUGGAGGGACUUAAAUGGGCUGUUAGUAUUUCCAGCAGGCCUUGUGUGUAACAAAAUGCAGGAAAGCUUAUGAGCAAUGUCAUUUUGACUAUUUGGAUAGCUCUGAAAUACCAAGAACCUGAUUGCAGGCCAGAGUUGAAAGACAUGCACUUGAGAAAAAGCUGCUGCUUCUAGAGAAUAAGAGUUUCUUUGCUAAGAGAUCAAGGAUCAGACCAAUGGUCUGCAAAGGCUGCGGAAAAUUCUCUGUUGACAAACUUACAUCUAAAAAACUUUGAUCAAUUCCCAAGUCUGUCAAAAACUGGAUAGUUGACAAGGCUAAAAUAUAAUACUGUACUGCCAUGCCAGUAUGCCUUUUAAUGAAGAAACUGAGGAAGAAAUUUAGCACAAGCUUGCUAGAGUUGUUCUCAGGCUCACUUGGUGCCCAGGAUGCCUCUGUUGACUCAUGGCUCUCACCCAGCUUCCCUGCUUUGUACUAUCCUUCAGAAGAGAGCUCUGCUCAAUGCAGAGGCUUAUAUUCCAGGAUAAUUCAUACCCUUCUCUACAGUGUAAUAUUUUCAAACUAUGUUGAAAAAAGUGCAAGCAUUAGUGUGCACAGACUAAAGAAGCCUCUGUGUUAAUCUUCUAGUAGUAGAACCUUAAAGCCAGCUGAACUGCACAUACAUCCACUGAACCUUCUUGUGUGUCUUUGGCUCCUUUCUAAGCUACUAAGUACAGCUAACACAGGGAAAGCCUGUUCCCCUACCUGUGACUUCCAGCAUCUUGUCUUUGCCGCAGGCACAGAACCCAUCCUUUCCUUCUGCCCUACCUAAAUCUGCAUUGGCUUCCUCCUCCAUUCCUUUUCUCUGGAUGCUCCCUUUUAUCACUUAUCCAGCCAAGACUUCAUGCAGUGUCACAUGGAUUAAUGUUACAUAAAGUGAAUUCACAAUAGAACGUCACAGAAUUACAGAAUCACAGAAUGACAGAAGGACGGUCUUCAUCAAGGUGAGGAAUCUGUUCACUCAAGCACUGAACUGUGAGGCGACAGUCAUGCUGAUUUGUUUCCAUAUUUUUUUAUUUAUUUACCAUUUUAAAAACACUGGAUGAAUGCCAGCUGUUGGCUCUGUAUGAAGGAACAAGGUGUCCACAGACUUGAGCUCUGUGAUUCUCCUCUAGAUGGGCUGCUCUUCAGAGAUAACUUUUCUCUUAUUUCUCUGAGCCAGGUCCCAGUAAUGAUAACAAGUACAGAAAUAUCAUAUCUACUUACUUGAAAAGUAGCUUAGCUCUUAGCAAGAAUAUUUGUCAUCUAUGAAACUUUAAGAG